rnacentral:lncRNA from 1 species
GGCAGUAUUUCAAAGGAGUAAGCAAACCCAGACUGCUAGCUUGUAAUAAUUUUUUUCUUGAAACAGCUAUAAGACCUACACAGGAGAUCCCAGUGUCUCUCUCAUGAGAGGCUGGUGAAUCUUCUACCUAUAUGAGAAGCCGGAAGCUUAUGCUUCUCAUUUCAGGUAGGAUACAUAUUCCUUAUUCUGGGUGCUGGAUGUUCCUUAGUAAUGUGAGGAAAGUCAUGAUUAUCAUUUGAACAGAGAAGGUCUGUAAAGCAUAUAUUUAAACCCUGGUUGUACUGCUCUGUGUGAAAGCCCCAGACUGGUAAAAUGGCUGUUUUGUGUCCUUUCCCAUCCAUGCAAAAUUCUGGAUAAUCUGUUGCUUAAAGCUUAAAAUUCUAGACUUUAAAAAGGAAGAAAGAGAAAAUUCAACUUUGCUUGAAGACAAUCAGUUGUUCAUUAUUUUGCAUCUGAAGAUAAAUAUCUAAGGCAGUUCUAUUAUUCUAUGUGGUAUUUUAGAUAUAAUAGCAAGGGCAAGUGUCUUUCACUUAAAAAGAAACCGGUAGUAGGCAGUUUGCUAGGAACCUUGUGAAUACUCCUUACUUAAUUCCCAACAACCUUUAAGGUGUUCUUUCCACCCUGCAAUGAGAAAACCGGCUCAGAGAAGUUACAGAGCUGUCGUGGGGCUGAAACCUACUCAAUUCUAUUGAUUUCAAAGCCUGAAAGCCUAAAUAAAGUCUCAUCUUAU